rnacentral:lncRNA from 1 species
AGAAGAAGAAGAGGGAUUUGAAUCGGGGGCUUAUCUGAGAUGGACAUUGCAUUCCUUGCAGUAGAAAUCGUUCCUCUCGAUGAGAGACCUCAAGAGGAGGUUGUGAUUGGAGGGCUUCUUGGGCGCCUUGGGAUCACCGCGGGGGUUCGCUCUGAUGGGUGGAAGGAGGCAGCAGCCCUUGGCGGAAGUGAAGGAGGCGUCAAACGAGAAAGACUGGGCAAGGUGGGGAGGAGGGUUCGCAGGCCAGCUUCUUUGCUUAUGCUCUUCCUCGAUCCGAUUCUUAUUCUUCUUCUCCUCCUCCUCCUUCUUCUCCUUCUGCUGCUUCUUUGGGUUCUGACCAUCGAGCAGCUGCUUUGCCUUUUUCUUGAUCGCUUUCAUGGCUCCUCCUCGUCCUCCUCCUCCUCCUCCAUCGUGCACGAUGUUUCCGAGCAGCUCUUCACUGAGCUCAACAAUAUCAUCUCCACAUCCUUCGUCUUGUUUGGGAUUUCUCUUGCGAAGGGACAUGCAGGAGAGCUUCAGAGACAGAUCAAGGGCACGAUGUCACCGCGGCGUUGGAUCUUGAAACGGAAUCGCCGGGUUGGCAGGAGAACCCAGGAGGAGGUCUGGAGGGAAGAAGAUGGAGGAGGAGGAGGUAUGAGACG